UACGUAGGGUGCGAGCGUUAAUCGGAAUUACUGGGCGUAAAGCGUGCGCAGGCGGUUGGCCGUGUCCGAUGUGAAAGCCCCGGGCUUAACCUGGGAAUGGCAUUGGAAACUGGCUGGCUGGAGUGUGGCAGAGGGGGGUGGAAUUCCACGUGUAGCAGUGAAAUGCGUAGAGAUGUGGAGGAACACCGAUGGCGAAGGCAGCCCCCUGGGCUAACACUGACGCUCAUGCACGAAAGCGUGGGGAGCAAACAGG
rnacentral:rRNA from 1 species